ACUCAAAUGAAUUGACGGGGACUCGCACAAGCGGUGGAACAUGUGGUUUAAUUCGACAGUAAACGAGGAACCUUACCAGGGCUUGACAUACAACUGAAGACAGCUGGAAACAGUUGUCGUCUCUCAAGGACAGUUGCACAGGUGCUGCAUGGUUGUCGUCAGCAUGUGCCGUGAGGCGCUCCCUUAAAUGGGGUAACAUGCGCAACCCUCAUCCUGAGUUACAAGUGUCUCAGGAAACCGCCCCGCCUAAAGGGCACGAAAUAAAAUUCGCGAGCUUUAGGCGGGGAGGAAGGCGAGGAUGACGUCAAAUCCGCAUGGCCCUCUGAUGCCCUGGGCUACACACGUGUUACAAUGGUCACUACAGCGGGUUGCCAAACCGAAAGGUGGAGCUAAUCCCUUAAAAGUGGCCUCAGUUCGGAUUGAGGGCUGCAACUCGCCCUCAUGAAGCUGGAAUCGCUAGUAAUCGUGGAUCAGCCACGCCACGGUGAAUACGUUCUCGAGUCCUGUACACACCGCCCGU
rnacentral:rRNA from 1 species